rnacentral:lncRNA from 1 species
UGAAGCAGAAAUCUGACAUUAAUUAGAGAUAGAUCUUAAAAGGUUUCUUUAACCGUUUCAUGUAGGUAACGGAGGGUGAAAGGGCAAUUUCAGUAAAAGCUCAGAUGAUACAGUUGAAGGUUUUGGUGCAAUCUAGGGAAAGGAAUAGUCGGUAUAAAGGAAAUAUUUUGUAUGUUCCACUCCAUGGUUGAAGUGGUACAGAGACAUAGACUGUAUAUUACAUAUAGAAGAAAUCAAUUUUAUCCAUAGGAUAUAUUUUUAAUUUCUUUAAUUAAUUACAGUAAGAAUCUGUCAAAAGGUUAUAAAAGUUGGCUUCCUACAUAAUUAUAAAUAAAACUAACACAAUAUAACCCGAUUAUAUUUUCUUGUAUAACGUAAAUUUUAAAAUUAAUCCUAUAUGAGUUACUUACAUCUUCGAAACAUAACCUACUUUAGUUGAUAAAUUUUAAUUCCAUUGUUUAAUUCACUGAAAACUAUGUUGAAGUUCUCAUCGUCUACAAUUAAAUUUCUAGUCAUUAUUCCACUAAAUAUACACUCCAUAAAAAUGGUCCAUUCCUCCCAACACAAUCUGACACUUAAAUGAUUAAUCUAAUAAAAUUAGAGAGAGGGCCUUCACUCAAAUAUUUUGCAUUGAAAAGAAAAUCCCGACUUUACAUCAUCUAACUAGAAGGAUUUCUUUUCUGUUUUUUUCUUUUUUUUUUUUGAAUCCUAAUUUUGUGUCUUUGCUUUUUUUUCUCUUUGUGAUCCUACGGAGAAAAGGUAUUGGCAUCAGAAAUUUGCGUCAUUCUCAGCAAAUUUCAUCAAAAAUUUCAAAAUUGAACGCUUCUGGUCAUUUUGAAUCCCCAUAUCCUUGGUUUCAAAAAUGCCCUUC